GUUUGAUCCUGGCUCAGAUUGAACGCUGGCGGCAUGCCUUACACAUGCAAGUCAACGGUAACGCGGGGCAACCUGGCGACGAGUGGCGAACGGGUGAGUAAUGCAUCGGAACGUGCCCAGUAGUGGGGGAUAGCCCGGCGAAAGCCGGAUUAAUACCGCAUACGACCUACGGGUGAAAGCGGGGGACUCGCAAGAGCCUCGCGCUAUUGGAGCGGCCGAUGUCAGAUUAGCUAGUUGGUGGGGUAAAAGCCUACCAAGGCGACGAUCUGUAGCUGGUCUGAGAGGACGACCAGCCACACUGGGACUGAGACACGGCCCAGACUCCUACGGGAGGCAGCAGUGGGGAAUUUUGGACAAUGGGCGCAAGCCUGAUCCAGCCAUGCCGCGUGCGGGAAGAAGGCCUUCGGGUUGUAAACCGCUUUUGUCAGGGAAGAAACGCUCUGGGCUAAUACCCCGGGGUAAUGACGGUACCUGAAGAAUAAGCACCGGCUAACUACGUGCCAGCAGCCGCGGUAAUACGUAGGGUGCAAGCGUUAAUCGGAAUUACUGGGCGUAAAGCGUGCGCAGGCAGUUAUACAAGACAGAUGUGAAAUCCCCGGGCUCAACCUGGGAACUGCAUUUGUGACUGUAUAGCUAGAGUACGGUAGAGGGGGAUGGAAUUCCGCGUGUAGCAGUGAAAUGCGUAGAUAUGCGGAGGAACACCGAUGGCGAAGGCAAUCCCCUGGACCUGUACUGACGCUCAUGCACGAAAGCGUGGGGAGCAAACAGGAUUAGAUACCCUGGUAGUCCACGCCCUAAACGAUGUCAACUGGUUGUUGGACGGCUUGCUGUUCAGUAACGAAGCUAACGCGUGAAGUUGACCGCCUGGGGAGUACGGCCGCAAGGUCGAAACUCAAAGGAAUUGACGGGGACCCGCACAAGCGGUGGAUGAUGUGGUUUAAUUCGAUGCAACGCGAAAAACCUUACCUACCCUUGACAUGUCAAGAAUCUUGCAGAGAUGUGAGAGUGCUCGAAAGAGAACUUGAACACAGGUGCUGCAUGGCCGUCGUCAGCUCGUGUCGUGAGAUGUUGGGUUAAGUCCCGCAACGAGCGCAACCCUUGUCAUUAGUUGCUACGAAAGGGCACUCUAAUGAGACUGCCGGUGACAAACCGGAGGAAGGUGGGGAUGACGUCAGGUCCUCAUGGCCCUUAUGGGUAGGGCUACACACGUCAUACAAUGGCCGGUACAGAGGGCUGCCAACCCGCGAGGGGGAGCUAAUCCCAGAAAACCGGUCGUAGUCCGGAUCGCAGUCUGCAACUCGACUGCGUGAAGUCGGAAUCGCUAGUAAUCGCGGAUCAGCUUGCCGCGGUGAAUACGUUCCCGGGUCUUGUACACACCGCCCGUCACACCAUGGGAGCGGGUUCUGCCAGAAGUAGUUAGCCUAACCGCAAGGGGGGCGAUUACCACGGCAGGGUUCGUGACUGGGGUGAAGUCGAAACAAGGUA
rnacentral:rRNA from 1 species